UACGAAGGGGGCUAGCGUUGCUCGGAAUUACUGGGCGUAAAGGGAGCGUAGGCGGACAUUUAAGUCAGGGGUGAAAUCCCAGAGCUCAACUCUGGAACUGCCUUUGAUACUGGGUGUCUUGAGUAUGAUAGAGGUAUGUGGAACUCCGAGUGUAGAGGUGAAAUUCGUAGAUAUUCGGAAGAACACCAGUGGCGAAGGCGACAUAGUGGAUCAUUACUGACGCUGAGGCUCGAAAGCGUGGGGAGCAAACAGG
rnacentral:rRNA from 1 species